rnacentral:rRNA from 1 species
UGGGGAAUAUUGGACAAUGGGGGAAACCCUGAUCCAGCGACGCCGCGUGUGUGAAGAAGGCCUGCGGGUUGUAAAGCACUUUUAGUGGGGACAAAAAGUCACGGGAUAACACCGCGUGAUCUUGAUUUAACCUACAGAAAAAGCACCGGCUAACUCUGUGCCAGCAGCCGCGGUAAUACAGAGGGUGCGAGCGUUAAUCGGAAUUACUGGGCGUAAAGCGCGCGUAGACGGUUUUGUAAGUCAGAUGUGAAAUCCCCGGGCUCAACCUGGGAACUGCAUUUGAGACUGCAUGGCUAGAGUAUGGAAGAGGGAAGUGGAAUUUCCGGUGUAGCGGUGAAAUGCGUAGAUAUCGGAAGGAACACCAGUGGCGAAAGCGACUUCCUGGUCCAAUACUGACGUUCAUGUGCGAAAGCGUGGGGAGCAAACAGGAUUAGAUACCCCGGUAGUCC